UUUUUCCUCCUAUAUGCAUAUACAUCCUAUUUCAUGCUUGCAAUUUUAAAGGAUGUUAUACUUUCUGCCUUAACAUAACUGCAAAAGUUGUGUUGACGGUUGGUGCCUUGUACUUGAAUGUUUGUUAAGGAAUGUGCAUUUGAUGACCCUAAUGGGUUAGUAGUGCCACUUUUGCUUCUAUUUUGUGAGAACACUUUUGCUUGGUUGUCUCAUUCUCACUUCCAAAACACUAACCCAGUGAAAAUACACAUCUUGGACUCUAUCUUACACCUAGAGAUGGAGAAUGAGAAGAUUUGCUGCAUUCCCCAUACUGUAGUUCCUCCUUGGUAGUGGUAAAAUUUCUUUACACCGCCAUACAAUUGAGCUAAGGAUCAACUCAUUGUGAUGCCAUCAAUUGUAUACUCUGAAAACUAUUUUCCUUGAGCUUCUUACCAUGUCCAUUUGCAGUUUGGAUUUUUGGAAACUUCUUGUUGCCCAUAGUCUUUCCUUUCUGUAUCAUUUUUUGAUAAACUCGCCAGUAUUAGUAACAAAUUUAUUUCAUUGACUAAGUGGUGGAGCUGGAAUUAUCCUGUCCAUGCUCCUUACUAAGUUUCCACUUUUACAACCUACUCUUAAGUUUAAAUAUGACUGGCAUAGGUAUGUUGUGCCUCUUUAAUGGACAAUUUCAUGCUUGUUCCGAUGGUUGAAAACGUGCAAAUUUAUGCUCCAAAGAAUAUCUUUUUCAUUUCAUGAAGUACAAUACUAAACUAUUAGGUUUUCCUGUAAAUUUUAGAUCAAUUGGGAGGUCAAAGUGAAAAAAAAAAUGAAUCUUUAGUGGCCAGACAUAUACAGAAAGAAUAAUUAUCUUCUUAUGGUAGGUUCAUUGCAGUUUGAGUUACUGAUUGAGAACUAGUACAUACAUGUUCACGAUGAUGGACACUAUCAGGGUCUUUAGUGUAGAAAGAUACCGUAGAGCAUUCAUGGUUCACAUGCAUACGAUAGCCUCUUCAGUACACAAGUAUUGCUUCCACCUAUGUUUUAGCAUGAUGCAAGUAUUGUACUUAUUACUUUUACCUAACAGAGGUAUCAAAACAUCACAUUAGUUAUGGCCAUAUUAUAGGAACAUCGGAGUGAAAUCAAGUUGAGUUAUUUAUUUUUGGCUACAGCAAGCAGAGGUGUGGCUUGUGUUUUGGUUGCAAGAAAGCUAGCCCUGGUCUACAUACUUGGACGAGGAUGAAGAUGAAAUCUCAGAUUCAGAACGAAUGUCUACUGUGGGUGGACCUCUAUUGCUGGGGACAGUCUCACCUGGAAAGUAAAACGCGAAGUAACUUAGGAUAUAAUCAUUGUCCUUAAAAAGAAAUGGAUAGUUAAGGUAGAGCAAUUUCGAGGCAGUUUUCUUAGAAAUAACUUUAAACUUUACAUUAUGGAAGAACUUCCCUGCUGAUAAUUUUUAAUGCUUGAAUAUACUUUCAAGAGUUGCUAUCAGCUGAACAACAUGAUACCUCAUACUUGGAAGCCUAAAUUAUCUUGUUCAUGCUUCAGAUUUCUACUCAACCUGUAAGUAUCGUCUAUCUUUCAGUAAAAAGUCCCUAAAAAUCUAUGUAGUUCAGAUGUUGAAAGUUGUGAGGCAAAUUUGUUGCAAAAUUUUAAACAUUGUCGCAUGAGUCACGCGUCAUUUUUGUUCUCGACUGCUUAAGGCCUGCUUAGUUUUAGAGAACAGCUUUAGUUUCCAUUGUCAUAGAAACUGUUUUCGAUGUUUUGUUGACAAAAUAUUUGUUUAGUGAAAAUAAUGUCAUUAGGGAUGAAAAUUGUGAGAAUAUGCUCAGGUUACAUCACAUUCCAAAAACAGGCUUAUUUAUUCCAAAUCUCCAUGUUUGCAUUUGGAAUCGGAAUACAAAAAAGUCAUCUUCAGUUUGUGAUUUUGAUUCUGAGAAUAGUUUUCCUUUUAUUUGUCAACUGCUUUUGGAGUGUUACCAAACACAUUUUCUGGUCUAUUUUAAUUCUCAAAUUGAAAUCAAAAUAGACUCUUGAGAAUCUUUAUCAGCCGAAUGCCUCCUUAGAUUAUCAAUCUCUUUCUGUCUGCAGAAAAAAUGGACUUCAUCAAGUUGCUUAACAGGCUUUGAACAUUGAAGAUUACUUCAUGUCAUCCAAGCAUCAUUAUAUGUAAUGCAUAAGCAGUGGGCUGAUGCCAUUAACAUAUUUCGAGAGGAAGUUUGAUUUGCUGUCAAACCUUGUUAGUGACCAUGGCAAGUGAUACUGUUAAUUCAGAGUGGUAGAUGGCGUUUCUUUUUUCUUCAUUUAACUAUUUUCGUUUGCUUAUCUAGGUCUUGACUCUUUCCCUCGGGAGGAAUUUUCCAAUCUAUCAGUUUCGUGUUAAUUCUCUGGAUGAAGUGGAUGACUUUGAAUUUGCUUCAGAUUAUAUUUCCUUCCAAAUACAUGAAGAGUCUUUUUUAGAUGUAACAAAUUGUAUAGUGGUAGUGAGUGGACUUAUGAAUGAUUCAAGCAAUGUGAAGAAGGGAAGAUCUUUGGAAGGAUCUUGUUGUGCAUCCCUCUUGGUCACUGUUGUGUGGAUUAGACUCUAUCUGAGGUGAAAACUUGGGAGAUGCCAAGAUGACAAUCCUGCAGGCUAGUGACCUUCCAUUUGUGCAUAUUGCAGGAACCACGUGUGCAAAUAACUGGGAUUUGUACCAGUUGAAGGACCAUAUCUUACGCCUGGAGAUGGAGAAUGAGAAGCUUCGCAGCAUUCCCCGUCCCGUAGUUCUCCCUUGUCAAUUGGUGGUAGAGGUGUGGCUUGUGUUUUAGCUGCAAGAAAGUGGGCCCUGAUCUACAUACUGGACGAGUAUGAAGAAGAAAUCUCUGAUUCAAAAUGACUAUCUGUUCAAGAGUUUGUGGUGGUUAUGCUUAUGUUGCUGCUGUGGGUGGACCUCUCAUACUUGGAGCUGCAGACAUUGGUGUGAGAAGCAAUGCAUGUGGGCUUUUUGACUGAUGCUCUUCGACUUCACCCUUUCUGGAGAAGUCUUAAUCCAUAUCUGCCAUGUGCCUUUUCUGCUAGGCAGGUAUUUGUCGAUAAAAAAAAAAAAAAAGUGGAGUAAAAUGUAGCGAUUUAUCUAUCGAGUGGGAUGGAAUUGACCAAAAGAUGCUGAAUCAUGGCUUCUAUCUGAUGGUAACUGUUGUCAUGGUAUUGCUGUAAGCUUUGAGACCUGCUCGAUAGUGCCAAGCUUUUGCUUCAUCUGUAUAUGUUCACUAUUUUCAUGUGUAAGAGAACCAAUUGUUUGGUUUGGAUUAUCUACACUUUGGGCUGAAUGGUUCGGGCAGUGUACUCGACUAACGAACUCUGCAUUUGAAUGUUGAGAUCUCUUACCCGAAA